UGUUCCCAAGCUGAGUUCCUGACCUGAGCUGGCAUCUUUCCACUGGUAGUGGAUCCAUUCAGGUCAACCCAGGCAGCAGGCCAGGCAGAGGGUCACUGCUAACUAUAUGCUAAUGAGAGUCGAGGCCAAUCAAUCCACCUUUAAUCAGGCAACCACUGAGCUUGGCAGUUCCCCUUCCAGAUGGAAUGUUUCAAUUCAGAGGAAAUUGCUAUACCUCAGGGAGAUGUGAGUCCUCACAGCAGCUCUGGCUACAAGGUCCUGGUGAGGCCGGUUUCUACAGGAAUUCUGAGGUAGUAGCCUGAAGCUGAGGAGAGACGCUACCUGACUCGUGUAGACGGCGCCAGGUGCUAAUCGACAAGCCCCAGUAUUCGACAAACCCCAGGAGAGCUCAAGUUGCCAAGCUUGAUGGGCCUGGAGACUGUGAUGCCAGCAGGCUGGCACCAGAGCUGGCUGCCCGGGACGUCCUCUCCCCUCUGCCCUCCUUGCUUUGUGUCUUCUCCACUCUGUACAAGAGGCAUCGCCCAAAUGACAAUGCAAGGUCACAGGGUCUGGGUGACCAAGCAGUUCCAGUCUGGCUCCUUCCUGGACCCCGACCUGCAGACGAGUCUCAUCCCUGGGUGAGCUGGCUUCCCAGAGGUAGCACCUUGGUGCUCUUCCCAGAACUGGACUUUUAGAGUAGGCUGACCUCAAGAUCAGGCAGGUCCCACACCUUGGGACUCCACAUGGGAAGGGUAUCUUUCUUGCCUAUGUCUUGCUCAAAGUCUGCUAUUGGAAAGCCAGUACCUCAGGCUCCUUCCAAUGCUUAUCACGCCCUGGAGCAGCACCAGACAGGAAUACCAUAAGUAUCGCCAGCCAGGUAACAGCAACUACCCAUUUCUACUACUAUAACAACAGCAACAAACCAGCUAUAAAUACAACAAGAGGAAUUGACACCACCAUGUUCCAAUAAAGUUUUAUUUCCAAAAGCAAGGAGAGGGCCAAGGUGUUAAUUUCCUGACUUCUACUCCACAGCCAUGAAAUCUCUCACCAGACAAGAAAGAGUGAUGGGAUCCCUGGGAGAAUCCCUUCCCCGAGGAGACUAAACAAUGCCUACCUCCUCUUCAUAAGAUCCCAGUGACAAACCAAAGUACAGAGUCACUAAAAUUCACCCCGAGGAGAACCAAUGACUUUACUGGGCCUGUUUAUAGAACAUGGGUGGGGGAUUAGUGACCAGAGCACGGGGGACCCCGAAGCAGCUGCACUGGAAAUCUGUGCUCACGUGAUGAUCACUUCCUCAUAGCAGAACAGAGAGAGCCCCUCAGUGACCCUUCCUCAGACUAGAUACCUCGUGGACCUCCAAAGCCAUGUGCAGUUAGGGAUGGACUGCGUAUAGAUGACUGGAAGGAGAUGCUGGACCCUCAGGAGAGAGUCAGUGACCGUCCCCACCCCUUCAUCUAUGAGGGCGUGUCAAUAGUCAGUAAGCCCCAAUUGUGGAUGCACUCUUGCAGUCAAGAGUAGCCGACCUGAUGAAGAUGGCAUCCGUUUUGCUUGGACCGCACUGUACAACACGGACUGCGCAGGAGCGGACUGCACCCCAGCCUAGAAGUGGCGUAAGUGCUUUCUACCACAUCUUGUUGGCCAGAUCUCAGGCUACCACAAAGGAGGCUGGGAAAUAUCCAUUGCAUUCAUGAGAAAUAGACCAGAAGAGGCUUCAGGGGCCACCUGCUCCUCUGCCUCACCUCUGGUCUUCAACAAGUCACUGACAUGGAGGCCCCCUCCUCCCUCUUGGGAAGCUUUGUGUAGCCAUUUCUCCUCUGUGACAAAACACCUGCCAGGAGCAACUUAAGGGAAGAAAGAUUCACAUGGGCUCGUGGUGGUUUUGUUUUUGUUUUUGAGAUCUACAGCCCCUCCGGAUGGUGAAGGCACAGUCACAGGAGUGUGUCAGAUGCUCUUUCAUUGUGACCCACCAGAAAGGUAAAGAUACUGACUAAAACCUCAAAGGCCCACCCCUCAAUGACCUCACCCUUCGACCAGCCGGACCCUACCUCCUCAAGGUUCCACCCCCUUCAAAACAGCAUGAGUGUGGAGAAACGAGACCUCAAAGCGUGAGCCUUUGGGAAUAUUUCACAUUAAAACCAUGACAUUUGGACAGCAAGAAUGCUUUCACAGCUCGUGCCUGGAGCUGUUGCUAGACUCGAUGGUCCUGAAGAGUUGAAGGUCACCAAAGUGGAUACAGUUUGACUCUAACCAGGGCCUCCAGCAGGUGAAAUAUGAUGGAUUCUAGAACCAGGAGGCUGUAUCCCCAGAACAGCUCACCUUAGAGUCUCCCCCUCUCAUUUAACAACAAAACCUACCUGGACCUUGUCCUUGUCCAAAUCUCCAUCCUUUUCGUUUGGUGCCCAUUGUUCGGUAUUACCAGGAGCUGGUGCGGCACUAAGCACUUCAGAGCGUUCUCCUCUCACCCCUUAGGAGCCCAGAACUGGAAGGCUCAGUAGAUGGUUAGAGAGCUGGCACCUCACACAGCCCUGCGCCCUGACCCCUUCGCUGUGCAACUGUGCAGUCCCAUCCAGUCCCAUCCAGUCCCACUCCAGAACCAUCCGAGAAGCUCUCUGUGGCUGACGCAACGCCAGCACGAAAGUCAUUUGAAGGAUCUGGGCUUCUCACUCCUGUGCCUCUGCCGUCACCCUGAGCACACACCGAGCUAGUCUAAUGGAGGAUGAAAGAUGUGAUAAGCAGAUUCAGGUCACUCAAACUACCUCUGCUGACAGCCUUCCUGUCCCCAGACAAGAGAGUGGGUCCGUCAAGGCUGCACAAACCCUGACCCUUCCUCUUAGCUGACUCCAGAUGUGUGAGAAAUAAUGUUCACUAUCUCAGGCCACCAAGAUUUGGGGAUGGUUUGUUAUGUAGCGCUAUUGUGUAGCAAUAAAUCACUAUUGCACUCCGGCUGUCUCCAUUUUAAAGGCAAGAAAAAGUAAAGCCAGGAGAAGCUAAGUGCUUUGCUCAGGGUAUUAUAGCUGGUAAAUGAUAGCACCUGGGUUUGCCCUGAAGCCUCUUUAAUCAGUGCAUAGUCUAUCAGAGCCCAGCCUCUGCUCAGGCCAGGCUUUUGUUCAGAGAUCUGACAACUGCCUGAUCCCGGAACUGUAACGGUACCCACAUGCAGUAGUCACUAGUGGAAGGACCCUACUUUUGAGUGGCAGCAACUAAGAGGCCCUUCUUGCUCUCAGGAAGCCCACAGGCAUGGACUUUCCCAGAGAGUGGGGAGAAGGAAGCCAGUAAACCAGCGAUCAGAUUUCUCCCCAGCAACAGGAGCCUGGACUCGGGGCAGGCACCAGGGACCCGUUACCGCUCAAUCAUUCCUUUGUUCUCUGGAAGACCUGGGGGAGACAAGGGCAAUAUCAAAGGAUGUAGAGAAUGGUUCUUUAGAAACUACCAGGUCUUCUGAUGUGGUGACAGCCCCCAUGGGAAAGAUGCUGGGUGGGCUUGGGGAACUGGGGCCACUGUGUCAGAACAUGAAGCCUGCCUGCUUAGUACUGGCUAAGAUGAACCCUGGUUGGCCCAAGAAACUGCCUGGGGGUACAUCUCGGGGAAUGUGCUCUGUGUGUGUGGGGGGGGGCUGGAGAGGGCAAGCUUUGCUGAGCAUCCUGCUAACCCUGCCCACCCAUCCUGUAAACUCUGGGAGCUGAUCUGUCUAGGGAGCCCGUGUUCCGCCCAGUCUGCUCCAGAGCCACUCAGAGGAAGCAGCGCUUUCUCCCUGGUUGGAGUUUUGCACACACAGAACCAGGGAAGAAUUGAUUUCCGCUUAUCUUAUUUCCCCAUCAGGCAUCCACGCCUCAGUAGCCUUAUGAUUACCCCGUGUUACUGCUCCUGUUCCCUGUCAGCACCAAUAUAUUUCUAAUUGAAAAGAAAUGCAGGCACACAAAAA